rnacentral:rRNA from 2 species
GGCAACCUGCCUGUAAGACUGGGAUAACUCCGGGAAACCGGGGCUAAUACCGGAUAAUUCUUUCCCUCACAUGAGGGAAAGCUGAAAGAUGGUGGGCGGCUAUCACUUACAGAUGGGCCCGCGGCGCAUUAGCUAGUUGGUGAGGUAACGGCUCACCAAGGCCACGAUGCGUAGCCGACCUGAGAGGGUGAUCGGCCACACUGGGACUGAGACACGGCCCAGACUCCUACGGGAGGCAGCAGUAGGGAAUCUUCCGCAAUGGACGAAAGUCUGACGGAGCAACGCCGCGUGAGUGAUGAAGGUUUUCGGAUCGUAAAACUCUGUUGUCAGGGAAGAACAAGUACCGGAGUAACUGCCGGUACCUUGACGGUACCUGACCAGAAAGCCACGGCUAACUACGUGCCAGCAGCCGCGGUAAUACGUAGGUGGCAAGCGUUGUCCGGAAUUAUUGGGCGUAAAGCGCGCGCAGGCGGUUCCUUAAGUCUGAUGUGAAAGCCCCCGGCUCAACCGGGGAGGGUCAUUGGAAAC